rnacentral:misc_RNA from 1 species
GGAAAACCUUAUCACGAGCAUAUCUAACUAAAACCUGGCCAAUAGGUCAUCUUGAUACACCCAACCUAAGACACAGAAUGCUGAGUGAAAAAAAACCUGGAAGGAGAGGUAUAGACAACCAAGACCACGUUGAGCAGAAAUUAUAAUCAAAACAGCACAAAUACAAACACCCAAAACUUCACAGCCCAACCGAAAAGUACAACAACAAAACACAUAACUGAACCUGAAAACCUAAGGCAAGAACUCAAAAUUAAGCAAUGAAAUCUUCAGAUCGUGAUGCUUCCUGUUUGGCUAAAAUAUCUACAGCAUUAUUUGCUUCCCUGAAAAUAUGUUGGAUCACCACAUGCAGUAGAGUUGACAGAUUAUUAACAAUGGAAUUUACAAUUGCUGCUAGAUGCCAAGGAGCAUUAUUUGGAUAUAAAAUCCAGGACACUGCAAUUUUAGAGUUAGAUUCUAAAAUAAAAUCAUUAGCACCACAGCACGUGGGGCAAAUCAACUAUUAAAUCUAGCACUAGCUAGUUAAUACAAUGAAACACAAGCCAAAGAAAUAUAUUGCAAAGGCAGAAAAUAUGAAAGGAAAGGAACACUCGACAGACACACCUAUACAGACCUGGAAGAAAAUAUUCAAAUGUUGGCACUACUUUCGAGAAACAAUUCUUUUAAUUUUGAUGUGGAAAAUGGCUUUGAGAUUAGAGGACACUUAGGAAUCAGCUUCAAGGAAACUUGUUGCAUUGUAGGCC